rnacentral:tRNA from 1 species
AAAGGGAGACCUAAUCCCGGUAGGAGACGAAAAAAAUGUAGUCCCUACCAAGAAUCAAUCCCAAAAGGUCGGAGCGAGGCGAAAUUGGCUUUCAAACUAGGUUCUGGGUUCACACAAGACCUGAAUCAGGAACAAGGGCUAUUAGCUCAGGUGGUUAGAGCGCACCCCUGAUAAGGGUGAGGUCCCUGGUUCGAGUCCAGGAUGGCCCACCUGCACAGGUGGCAAAAACAAAGAAAAAAAGCUCCGAAUCAGCACCUUAUCUUACUCAUAUAGUAAGAGAGAAUGCUGGCUCUGAGUUCAGAGUCCAGAGGAACCUUGAAAACUGCAUAGAGCUAGGUGAAAAAGCCAAAAAAGAAGACCGUCAG